AGGUCUGUCUCUUUAUCAACAAGAUCAACUCCACCGAGGGAGAAAUCUUAUGGUUAUAUCCACCUGAGACACUGACUUAGGAGCUACCCUAAUCCAGGAUCCAGAUAUAUGAAACAAGAUUCUAUUUUGCAAGUAGACUCUCCAGCCUCAGACGAACCAGACUUCAGAUAUUCAAGACAUCCCAGGUACCAAGUUUCUUCACGUACAUUGAGGUGAUAUGACAACCUGUAUUUGAUUCCCUACACCAAAUUCCUAGUCUAUAGAUGAGAACUAAGGAUUCCAGUGACAUGGAGAAAGUGUGUAAUUAGGAAUCAGAAUGCAAGCAAAGGAAAGACUCUCCUCACAUGAAGACACUAUGGGUGGAACAUAGUCUACUACUCCUGUGGAGAGGAGCUGCUCCACCACGAUGAGGCAGGGAGAAGAGGAUAAGGCGAAUUAUGAUGCAUCAGCUGUCCCACCAGUGAAUAGAACAAAAAUCUCAGUAUUACCUAUGUUAGAAUCAUUGCCCUGGAAUCUUUUCUUCAAUCAAUCUUACAGAUGAGCUAUGCUUGCCAAGACAUCUAAUGAGUUGGUGUGCAUGCUGGGGUAAAGAGGGGUGAUAAGGGAAUUUUGGAAAGAAGGAAAGUACCCACUUCAGCAGGGCAGGAAAUGCAUAAAGCACAACCAGAUCACACUUGGAUUAUUGAUCGUAUGAAACCACUUUAAAUACAAGAUUUGAGGAGUUUUGGAGUCAGGACGAGACUGGGUUGAAUGGGUUGUCUUCCCGUUCAUACCCAUCCUGAAUCUGCUCAUCCAGGACAAUGGUCAUCCCAACUCCAGGAGGGAACCCAACUGGAGAACCAAGAAACAAACACAAUGAACACUGGACAUAUAUCCCCGCCAUAUGAAAAGAGCGCGGCUCCUCCUCACCAUGGGACCAUUAGACACCCAACAUUAUUUACAAGUCUAUGAGGAACAAGGUGCCCUUAGGUUUAUAUGAUAGAAGAAAAAUACAGGUAAUAAGGUGCAUUUUUCCUAAGUUAUACCUGUCCUGUUAUUAAUGCUGUAUUAUUUAUUUAUAUUUUAUUAUUCUCACUUUCCCAAUUUUUAUAUAAUGAACUUUUAGUAUCAGAAAAAAAUGUUACAUUCCUGAAAAUAUUGUUGUUUCUGUAUUUCAGAAGAUUAAUUCCUCCAUGCCUCUCCAUCAUGAGUGAGCUAGAGAGUGACUAGCAAAUGGUAUAAAGGUUUUGAAGAAGGCAUUACUAAUCCCCAGUUUGCAAGUAGAAAAAAAACCUGGAGAGAUGGAGUAACUUGUCCAGGGUACACAGCAAGUGGGAAGAAAAAUACAAAAAAUGCAGCAGAUCUACCAAGUCAAUACAGCUCCAAAGUCCAUGUUUAUUUCAUUUCAUCAGACAGUUUUAAUGUACAUCAACCUCUUUUUCAACAAAAUUACUGGCAAUCUGAGGCAGUGUCUUAUGAAAGAAGUAGCAGCAGAAAGACGUGAUAUUUAUGCAGUUCAUAUGAAGUGCGAGGAGGAAGCCAACUGCAAAGUGCUGGAAUUGUUCAUUUUAAUGAGAAGGAAGCAUCAUUCCCACUAAAGAAACAUGAUUACUAGAGAUGAUAAUCAGAACCCAGUGUGAAUAGUCAUUCUUUCUUCUGCCACCACAGAGGGGAGAACCAGGGGACCAGGUAAACUCCUUCCUUGCAGCUCAGACCAGGCCUGCUUUCAUCAAUUCUCUGCUGCCCUUGGGAUUUUUCAAUACCCCGAGUUUUGAGGAGACCAGUGAUUCACCCUUUUUCUACAGCCAGCCGACAGAUCACACAGUGACCGUGGCUUUGAGGUGACAUGAGCAGUUGUUCAAAGUCGAGCUGUUUCAAUUUAUCUCUUCCUUUUCAAUUUAAGCUUCUUUCCAAAGGAGCUAUAAACUAUUCUAGUUGAAGCUAUUUCCUUUCAUCACGGCUCCCUCAGAUGAAAGACAAGGCAAACAUCAUCCAGUAGGACAAUGGUAUUUGGGUGCUUUCCUUGCUUUCUUGUUGCCAAAGAAUGAUCAAAUUCUGAUCUGAAGACCAUUUGACAAGACACUUCAGGUUGGCCUCUUAUGGUCUUAAUAUUUAUGUCGUAAAAAUCUCUGGAACAGCAUUAUUCAAUAGAAAUAUAAUGUUAAGUCACAAAUGUGAACCUCAUAUUAAAUUUUCUAGAAUCCACAUGACAAGAGUAAGAAAAGAUGGGUGAAAUUAAUUAGCAUAUUACAUUUAAUACAAUAUAUACACAAUAUUAUCAAUCAAAAUGCAAUCAAUAUGAAAUUAUUUGUGAGAUUUUUUUCCCUAAGUCUACAAAAUCAAUGUGUAUUUCAUACAGCAUAUCUCAAUUCAGACUAGCUAUUAUUCAAAUGUUCAGUAGAUGCAUGUAGCUAGUGGUUGCUGUUUUGGAUGGUGCAGUUCUAGGCCUUGGCUGCCUUUGCUUGUUCAAUAUGUAUUUUUACCAAUAGAGUAUAAAGAGGCUUUUUCCAGGAGUAAUAAAACAUUGACACAGAAUGGGCUAUCAAAAAAUGCUGUGUUGAAGAUGAAAACACAUGUUAAUAAUUUGUUUUAAAACACCAUGAUUUCUUAAAUUAUUUAGGAGGAGAGGUUGGGAAGUAAUGCUGGAAAGGGAUUGUCCUACAAAGGAAUGAAGAGAAGAGUCCAUGAUAGAGAUGAUGAUUCUAAAUGUAAAUAAUAAUUUCUUAAGUAUAUAUGAUCUAAUAGGAUAGGUAGAUGUUUCCAGAGAUCUUUAUAUGUCAAUAUGUAAUCCCCAAAUAAGAGAAAACAAUUAGUAUAUUUUAUAGAAAUAUAAGGGACAAAUUCUAUCUCUUGAAAGUUGAAACACUAUAAAGAUUGCUAAUGUUCAUGGUUAGAAUGAAGGGGAAAGGAGCCUACACUCUCCAUAUGAUACUGGAGGUAAAACUGAUAUAAUAUUUAUGACAAAAACUUGUCAAAUAUCCUUAAAACUUCUUUCAACACCAUCAUUUUAAUUCCAUUUAGUGGGGAAAUUACUAGACAAGGAAAUAAAAAUGAACAUAAAGGAUGCCUGAGAUUACUGAAAACUUGGGAACAUUUAAGUAGCCACUAAGAAAGUGAUAAUUAAAUAUAUUGUAGAUAUGCACAUAUACACUGAAUAGAAUAUUAUGCAGCCAUUAAAAUGUCAAUGUAAUUUUAUAUUUAUUGAAAUAUAUAUGUUUAUUAUUAAAUGGAAAAGUCAGGUUUUGGAACAAUAUGUAAAAGACAUCAUUUAAAAUACACACAAGUGGGGAUACUUAAAUUCUGUUUUGUACUUUUGGGGAAAUAACCUUAUUUUAAUGAGCAUACAAUCUUUAAUCAAAACAAACAAUAAAUCUCUGUAUUUUGAAAAAAGCACUAUAUCCUGGGAACUUUCUGAAUAACAAAAAGAAAAAAAAAUAAAGAUAAAAGAGGAUAGGCUG